GCAGCUAGCUGAGAACUGCUUGGCUCCUCUAGGUUUGGUAUCUUUUCCUGCCUCCAAGUUCCUGCCUCGGCUUCCCCAGAUGAUGGAGUGCUGUAAGCUGUAAGCUAAGCUCAUCUUUUGGUCAGUGUUUAAUCAACAAACAACAGAAAACGAAGGCAGCUGCUGAGGAAGAAGGGAUGCCCAUCUGUCAUACUGAAUCCUCACUUCACCUAGAGAAAAAGCCAGGCUCAGGGGGAUGUGCAAGUGUUCUCAAGAGCACAUCCAGGGCGGCUGGAUGUUUCCGCAGUUAAAGGCAUUCACUGGCUGCUCUUCCAGAGGACCCAGGCUUCAUCUCCAACACCCACAUGGCAGCUCAAGACCUUCUGCAGCUGCAGUCUCAGGACGCUGACAUCUUGUGUCUCCGUGGGUACCAGGCACACCUUGGUACAAGGCAUACUUGCAAACAAAACACUGCUACAAAACUUAAAAACAACAAAUAAACAGCCAGUUCAGCUCA